GCACAUAAACACCAUGGCAUGUCACCCCAUACCGCCAGUACUUGAAGAAAAGGAAAAUGACCCGACGUUUUUUAAUUGCCCUCAAUGAAUCAGGUGCCCCCUGAUGACUGACACGUUGAUCAACCCAUAAUCUUCAGACUCUGCCACAUGAAGCCAAUGAAAGAUACCUGCUGGUGACCAAAUGAUGGUCACAUGAAAGCAUAUAUAUUUCUACACAUCCUAAGUCAUCUCUUGCACGGAACAUUUCCAUGCCUUUGCCCAUGCUCGUCCAUCACCCCAGAAUCUCCUCUCCUGCCAUCUGGACUUACUGAAUGUCUACUCAUCCAUCAAGACCAAUUUAUCCAUCAGUGCCAACUCAUCCAAAAAGCUUAUGCAGAUUGCUGCUUCCAUUCAGAAUCAGCAGCCUCUUCUCUGCUUAUGUGGCACUUUGAUUUAUGUAUAUCUCAAUGUAUUGUUAUAUUUUUCAAAAUAAUAUAAUCAACAAUCAUGUACUCUCCCAGAAGCUUGAGAAAUAAAACAUUUCCAAAAUACUUGAACCCUCCUACGUAUCUCCUUUGGUACUGGGUCUUCCUCCCUCUCCACUCCUUAGCCUGCCUCCCGCCUGCCCCACCCUCCCAACAGAGGAUCGUUA
rnacentral:lncRNA from 1 species